GUGGGGAAUAUUGGACAAUGGGCGAAAGCCUGAUCCAGCCAUGCCGCGUGUGUGAAGAAGGUCUUCGGAUUGUAAAGCACUUUAAGUUGGGAGGAAGGGCAGUAAGUUAAUACCUUGCUGUUUUGACGUUACCGACAGAAUAAGCACCGGCUAACUUCGUGCCAGCAGCCGCGGUAAUACGAAGGGUGCAAGCGUUAAUCGGAAUUACUGGGCGUAAAGCGCGCGUAGGUGGUUUUGUAAGUUGGAGGUGAAAUCCCCGAGCUCAACCUGGGAACUGCCUCCAAAACUGCAUGACUAGAGUACGGUAGAGGGUAGUGGAAUUUCCUGUGUAGCGGUGAAAUGCGUAGAUAUAGGAAGGAACACCAGUGGCGAAGGCGACUACCUGGACUGAUACUGACACUGAGGUGCGAAAGCGUGGGGAGCAAACAGGAUUAGAUACCCGGGUAGUCC
rnacentral:rRNA from 1 species